AGAGUUUGAUCAUGGCUCAGAACGAACGCUGGCGGCGUGGAUAAGACAUGCAAGUCGAGCGCUGAUUACAGGGUAGCAAUAUUCUGUAGUUGGAGCGGCGCAAGGGUGCGUAACACGUGGGCAAUCUGCCGUGAAGUUUGGGACAACUUGCUGAAAGGCGAGCUAAUACCGGAUGUGAAAAUUGGGAGGCAUCUCCUGAUUUUCAAAGUUGGGGACCGUAAGGCCUGACGCUUCAUGAUGAGCCCGCGGCCUAUCAGCUAGUUGGUGAGGUAACGGCUCACCAAGGCUAAGACGGGUAGCUGGUCUGAGAGGACGACCAGCCACACUGGAACUGAGACACGGUCCAGACACCUACGGGUGGCAGCAGUCGAGAAUUUUUCACAAUGGGCGAAAGCCUGAUGGAGCGACGCCGCGUGGGGGAUGAAUGGCUUCGGCCCGUAAACCCCUGUCAUUUGCGAUCAAACGUUAUUAUUUAAAAGAUGAUGACCUGAUAGUAGCGAAAGAGGAAGGGACGGCUAACUCUGUGCCAGCAGCCGCGGUA
rnacentral:rRNA from 1 species